UACGGAGGGUGCGAGCGUUAAUCGGAAUUACUGGGCGUAAAGCGCGCGUAGGCGGUUUGUUAAGUUUGAUGUGAAAGCCCUGGGCUUAACCUGAGAACUGCAUUGGAUACUGGCAGGCUGGAGUGUGGUAGAGGGGUGUGGAAUUUCCGGUGUAGCAGUGAAAUGCGUAGAGAUCGGAAGGAACACCAGUGACGAAGGCGGCACCCUGGACCAACACUGACGCUGAGGUGCGAUAGCGUGGGGAGCAAACAGG
rnacentral:rRNA from 1 species